rnacentral:tRNA from 4 species
GGCGGCGUAGCCGAGUGGCCCAGGCGGGGGUCUGCAAAACCCCAGACGUGGGUUCGAUUCCCACCGCCGCCU